rnacentral:rRNA from 1 species
CGCGUAGGUGGCAAGCGUUAUCCGGAAUUAUUGGGCGUAAAGAGCGCGCAGGUGGUUAAUUAAGUCUGAUGUGAAAGCCCACGGCUUAACCGUGGAGGGUCAUUGGAAACUGGUUGACUUGAGUGCAGAAGAGGGAAGUGGAAUUCCAUGUGUAGCGGUGAAAUGCGUAGAGAUAUGGAGGAACACCAGUGGCGAAGGCGGCUUCCUGGUCUGCAACUGACACUGAGGCGCGAAAGCGUGGGGAGCAAACAGG